AAGGAGCUGAAGGUGUUUGCAACCCU
rnacentral:piRNA from 1 species